rnacentral:misc_RNA from 1 species
GAAAUGCGAUAAGUAAUGUGAAUUGCAGAAUUCAGUGAAUCAUCGAAUCUUUGAACGCACCUUGCGCUCCUUGGUAUUCCUUGGAGCAUGCCUGUUUGAGUAUCAUGAAAUCUUCAAAGUAAAUAUUUUGUUAACUCAAUUGGUUUCUACUUUGGUAUUGGAGGUCUUUGCAGCUUCACACCUGCUCCUCUUUGUUCAUUAGCUGGAUCUCAGUGUUAUGCUUGGUUCCACUCGGCGUGAUAAGUUAUCUAUCGCUGAGUACACUGUAAAAGGUGGCCAAGGUAAAUGCAGAUGAACCGCUUCUAAUAGUCCAUUGACUUGGACAAUACUUUUAUGAUCUGAUCUCAAAUCAGGUAGGACUACCCGCUGAACUUAAGC